ACGUAGGGGGCAAGCGUUGUCCGGAAUCAUUGGGCGUAAAGAGCGUGUAGGCGGCUCGGUAAGUCCGCUGUGAAAGUCCAGGGCUCAACCCUGGAAUGCCGGUGGAAACUGUCGAGCUAGAGUCCGGAAGAGGCGAGUGGAAUUCCUGGUGUAGCGGUGAAAUGCGCAGAUAUCAGGAGGAACACCAAUGGCGAAGGCAGCUCGCUGGGACGGUACUGACGCUAAGGCGCGAAAGCGUGGGGAGCGAACAGGA
rnacentral:rRNA from 1 species